rnacentral:rRNA from 1 species
AAAAGCUUUCUUUAAUUGAAUAAUUGAAUUUAAUUUUUUAGUGCAAAAGCAAAAAUAAAAAUUAGGGACAAGAAGACCCUAUGAAUUUUUUAUUAAAUUUUAUAAAACUUUAUAUAAAAUUUAAUUUAAUUGGGGUGAUGGAAAAAGAAUAAAUAUCUUUUUUUUUAAAAAAAAUUGGUUCCGUUUUUAGCGAUUAAAUGAAAAAAAUACUCUAGGGAUAACAGCGUAAUAAUUUUGGAUAGUUCAUAUAGAUAAAAUAGUUUGCGACCUCGAUGUUGGAUUAGGAUUCUUUUUUGGUGAANAAGUUAAAAAAA